GUAAUCGUGACCGAGUGGUUAAGGUGAUGGACUAGAAAUCCAUUGGGGUUUACGUGCACAGAUUUGAAUCCUGUCGAUUACA